UUUUCUAAGAAUCACUCAUUCUGUUUUUAUCUUGGGCACUACUAACUUAUUAAGUUUUCAUUUUACUACUUCCCCUGACCAAGAUGCUGGACAUUUUGAUGGCUUACCGAGAGAAAUGAGACCUCUUGACAAAAUUUUGUAAUUUCUUAUAGAUGCACAUUUCGCCGAUAAUUGAAAAUGCUUUCAGAAGAUUGCAGUCUAGUAACUCUAGUUCACUGCAUUUGGUAUGUAUUUUUUGUUAUAAUCUUUGUUGUUAUGGACCACAUAUUAUUAAUGAUUCCCACUGUUGUAGGUAUAUCAUAUGCAAAGAAGUCCCAUGCUUUUAUUUUUACCUUGACUUACAAUAACUUGCAUAUUUACUAUGUAUAAGAAUUUUAUUCACCUAUAUGAUAUUUUGUUAAAUCCUCAAGAAGAUUACAUUAAUCUCCUGUUAAUCCAAUUUUAUUUGUUAAAGCAGAAUCACUACUCAAGUUUAAGUGAAAGACUAUCAAUAGUCAAUACCAUGUCAUGAAGCAGUCAAAGCUGAACGAAUCACAAAGACUGGGUCAGUUUUCAAGAGACUACUUUGAAUUAUUAUGUAAUUUUAAUUUUGCAGUACUUUGAAUUAUUAUAUCAACCUCUGCAACUUUACUUGUGGAACCUACACUAGCUUAUGCUAAUUCCAUUUAUAGAUUUGUAUGAAUUUAGGGACUGUGCAAAUUUAUAUGAUAAAUAGUUCAAUAAGGUUGAUUGUUAAUAUAAUUUGUCAAAUUAAUAUAACUUAUCAAGUUAAUUCUUCCUCCAAUCUGAAUUCAGUUACUAGGUAAAAGUGUUGCAGGUGAUAGAAAUGAAGUUAUUUAAUAGUGAUUAAUAUUGACAAAUAUAGGAAUUUUGAGGUUUAAAAUUAAUCUAAUGUUUGUGGUUUUGGUUGCAGGGACAGUUACCACUAUUUCAUGUUUUGUAGCACUUGGAAUUGGAGGUGGUAUUAAUGGGCUCUCUGCUUGUUCCCUCUCCUCAAAGAUGCUGGUGCUUUGUGGCUUUAGAUGAN
rnacentral:lncRNA from 1 species